GUUGCCCAGGCUGGAGUGCAGUGGCACGAUCUUGGCUCACUGCAACCUCUGACUCCCGGUUCAAGCAAUUCUCCUACCUCAGCCUCCCAAGUAGCUGGGAUUACAGGUGCCCAACCACGCCCUGCUAAUUUUUUGUGUUUUUAGUAGAGACGAGGUUUCACCAUGUUGGCCAGGCUGGUUUUGAACUCCUGAUCUCAAGUGAUCCGCCCGCCUUGGCCUCCCAACCUGCUAAGAUUACAGGCGUGAGCCACCGCACCUGGCAAAAACUGUGCUUUCUUAUGGUAUAUUUUUUUCCCUUUCUUCUGAAACAUUUUUAGAUUGUUAUCUCAUUUUACUUCAUUUUACAUCAGAAGGUUUUCACAUAGGAGUCCGUAUUCUUAGGUUUUGUAUGCUUUGGAGGAUUUCACUCUCUAUUCAUUCCCUGUGAGGUCCUAUAUGAUGCCUGUUUCCAAGGGAAGAAGUAAAGUCAAGAAACAAGAUAUCCUCAAGCUACUCUUAGGAUCAGUGUCUGCAUAGAUCUGGCACACAGAAAUGCAAGGAAACAAUUUGUGCAAAGCAUUAAAAAAAAAAGGGGGGACCCUGAGAGUAUAACAAGUGCUCCUGAGAGAGGACAGACGGAGAGGACGCAUGGGCAGGGAUGGCCGCCCUGAGCAGCUGAUGUUCGAGCUAAGAUCUGAAAGGUGCAUGAUUUCCCACUUACCUCCCGCAACCACUACCACCCACGUUGUCCACAGUAUUCAGCUGUCUCAGGGAGGAUCACAAUUAUUCUAAUGGGACUGCAAAGAGUGAAGGACACAGCUUUUAACAUCAGAUUCGAAUCCUACAAUUUGGAACCCAUGGGCACUUCUAGAUUGGAUCUUGCAGAGAUUUUUUACAACAGAAAUAAUGGAAAGGCAAAAGAAAACAUUGAGUAAUAACCAACCCAAGCAAGUCCAGCCUCUUUCUGCAGAAGAUAAUCAGGAUGACUCCACCUUUGUACCUGACUGAGGAACUUAGUGAACCCUGAAGAAAUGAUGAUUAAAGAGACAAUGAAGAGGCCAGGCGCAGUGGCUCAUGCCUGUAAUCCCAGCACUUUGGGAGGCCGAGGUGAUGAGACAUUUUCUGGCUGAGAGACAGAGAUAUCCUAGAAAGGUGUCAAGUUAAAAGAGGGCCGAUGAAAGGACUUGAGCCACAGCCAUCGGAGGAGGGUAUGGAUGGCUGCAAGCCCACAGGCCACCUGUUGAAGAGAGGAAAAAAAAAACAGAUUUCAAAUGUGCCCGUGGACUUCGAGCUGGUGCGUUCAGUGGCAAAGCUGGAAUUCAAAUCUCAGGGCUCCUGCUCUGGGCUUCUUCUCCAUGAAACUUGGAGGAAAAGAAAAAGGAAGACACUCUUACUGGUCAGAGGAGAGAACACAAUUCCUUCAGUGGAACCAGUAAUUCAAGCUACUGCAUAUGCCAAUUAAAGACCAAUCUGGGGAAAGGUGGAUGCCCUGGGCUCCAUCUGCCAUUCAACCACUGAUUACGGCCUUGUACGGAUGGACUUUCAGCAGCAGGAACCCAAAAUCAUUGGUGAAAUAGGAAAGCUAUUGUACAGAUAUUAGAAAAAUAAGACCUUCACAGUCAUCAGAAAAGUUAUCACUUAAUGUCAUGUGUCAUCAGUCCUUUCUUGUGAUUGAUUAUGUUUGUAUACAUGCACUUGAAAUGUGUUUUUAAAAGAGUAUUAUAAGAGAUAUUUUUCCAGUAAGUACAAUAAGCAUUCAAUAGUAGAACAAAUAGAACAUUGAUAUCUCAUUAUUAGUAUUGCUCACAUGUGUAUUAUGAGGCAGAAUUAAAGCUGAAAUGCAAUAAGAGCCAUAUUUUAUCAUAAUAGAUAUUUUUCAUUUUCUGAAAUAAUAUAAUAAAAUAAUGUGGUUGGUUAAAGUAUGUACACACAGGCUAUCAAUUAAGAUGUUUUAAAUUUAAUUAAAUAUUAAAUAAUAAAAGCCACAAGGGGAAGUAAGGGAAGUAAGACAAUUCUUUCUUUAACAUACAACACAUUUAAAUGUUUUCUGAUAAUUAUAGAAAUAUCAAAAUCAGAUCAAUCUUCAUACCUCAGAAAAUUAAAUGAUUAAAUACUGGAGACUAUUAAAACAAAUAAAACUGUUUAUUCCACAACUUUGCACAGCUAAAAAAAAAUCUUCUAUCAUGUCUAGAAACAUGUUUCUGACAUAUGCACACCUCACCAGCAUAUCUCAGGUUAUUAUACACCUCCAACCACAGCCUCACGGUGGCAGGCAGUCAGUAAGAUGGACCCCAGUGAUCCCUGCCUCCUGGUAUUCACAGUCUAGGGUAAUCUCCUUCCCUUGAGUGUGAGCCUGUGGCUUACUUCUAACCAAUAAGAGUACAGCAAAAGCAAUGGGAUGUCAAUUCUGUGAGUAUGUAAAAUUGUAACUUCCAUCUUGCAAGCCAACUCUCUUCUUUGCUGGCUUUCAUGACGCAAUAUACCAUGUUGGAGGGGCUCGCGUGGCGAAGAACUGAGAGGCCUGUAGGAACAAAGUCCAAUAGCCAGGUAGGAAGGAGUCCCUCAGUCCCACAACCCAAGGAAACUGAAUUCUGUCAACUAACACGCAUGUAAGUGAGCUUGGAAGUGACUUCUUCCCCAAGUGAGUCUUCAGAUGAGGUCCUAGCCAACUUUUUGAUUGCAGCUUGUGACAGACCCUGAAGCAAAGGACUCAGCUAAGUUGUGUCCUAAUUCCUCCACUGUGAGAAAAUAAAUGUGUGUUUUUUAAAA